GAGGGUGGGCAAAUCUCAAAAAUAACGUCCCAGUUCGGACUGCAGUCUGCAACUCGACUGCACGAGCUGGAAUCGCUAGUAAUCGCGGAUCAGAAUGCCGCGGUGAAUACGUUCCCGGGUCUUGUACACACCGCCCGUCACACCAUGGGAGUCAGUAACGCCCGAAGUCAGUGACCUAACUGCAAAGAAGGAGCUGCCGAAGGCGGGACCGAUGACUGGGGUGAAGUCGUAACAAGGUAGCCGUAUCGGAAGGUGCGGCUGGAUCACCUCCUUCUAAGGAA
rnacentral:rRNA from 1 species